CGAAAAGAGUGCUGGAGCUGCAGACUGCUUCGUUGAUACCCAUGAGAAAUUGACAUUGAAGCAAAACUAUGCAGAUACAAGAUUGUGCCUGAAUAAUCGAUCCGGGAAAUGAUCUGCCUAAUCAGAAGUCAAACCAUAGUUCCUGCAGAACCAAACAGUCUAACUCUCUAACACUCUCCUGAAACAUGCUCACUGGUCUGGUGGUUGCCGAAGCAGGCUGUGGUAGCGUCGAAAAUCAAGUUCAUGGAGUACUCCGAACGGAUUAGAAGUUGGAAAAACGAAAACGCGCAGGCAAAACCAAAUUGGGAAGAUCAUGCACAAUCAAGAACAAUCAAAUGGACUUAGAUUAACAGAAGUAGUGGCGAACCAGUGCUAACAUGCAGCGACUUGCAGGAAGAAGAACAAGACCAUCACGACCAAAUAGCACCACAUGCUGUUCCACUCUCAUAAAAAAUAGGAGGACGUAUGUAACGUGAUGUUUCACUAACAUAAUGCAGAAUAUGAGUCUUAUAAACUAGUUGAACGUACCCGAUCUUGCUCGGGUUUAAAUUAUUUUACAUUGAAACUGUCAAUUGUAAAGUUCAUUGCAGCGCCGCACUCUAGAUCAUUUUUUACGAUCGCAUUAGGUUUCCUCCCAACUCGGGCUAAUAUUGUAUUUUGACAAUUUUUUAACUUUCCCAUCAAAUUUGCAAACUCAUUGUAUAUAUAAACACAGCUGAUCCUAAAAUUUAA